rnacentral:rRNA from 1 species
UAGGGAAUAUUAGAAAUGGACGAAAGUCUGAUCUAGCAACACCGCGUGUGCGAAGAAGGCCUUCGGGUCGUAAAGCACUUUUUGGAAGGAAUAGGAAGGAAUGUACUUCCAGAAUAAGUCUCGGCUAACUACGUGCCAGCAGCCGCGGUAACACGUAGGAGGCGAACGUUAUCCGGAUUUACUGGGCGUAAAGCGCGUGUAGGUGGUUCUGUAAGUAGGGCGUGAAAGCUCCUGGCUCAACUGGGAGAGGCCGUUCUAAACUACAGAUCUAGAGGAUGGUAGAGGGAGGUGGAAUUCCAGGUGUAGCGGUGGAAUGCGCAGAUAUCUUGUGGAACACCAGUGGCGAAGGCGGCCUCCUGGACCAUUCCUGACACUCAGACGCGAAAGCUAGGGUAGCAAACG